UUUAACUUCUCCUCUAUAUAUAUUAAGUGAAUGCAUAAACAACUCUCCAUGUACAUGUUAGCAGAGAAACUUAACAAAAUUGUCUCAAUGGAUAAAAAAUUUAAAGUAGCCAUCUUUGUGGUGGUCCUUUGUGUUACUACAGCCACAGCAAUUCGUCAGGGCAUUAUCACUGCCACAAAUCGUGAUGACGGUGGAAUUCAAGAGGCCUUCAAAACAUUAAAAGAUCAUCAAAGUAUUGGCAAUGUUUACGAUAAUGGUGGAAUUCUAGAGACUUUCAAAAUGAUAAAAAAUCGUUAUAGUAGUGCCCAAACUUAUGAUGAUGAUGAUGAUAGAAUUCAAGAGGGUUACAGAAUGAUAAAAAAUCGUCAAAGUAGUAGCAAUAUUCACUAUGUUCCUAUUACUACUGCUAAAAGUUAUGGUGAUUUCACUACUCGGCAUUGAAGUUGCAAAUAUACGGGCAGUAUGGUUGAGGUAAAAGUUAUAAUAGUCUCGGAAUAAAAUGAGGAUAAGAAUGUUGCCGUGUUCCUGAUGAGAAUGCUGCCAUGUCUUUGUAUCAUGUCUUAUAUAUAUGCUUUGGUUUCUGUCUAGGCCAAAUCCAUCGGUGGCCCCCUAAACUUGGCACGAACUUUCACUUAGGCAUGAACGUUGUUCACUUUUAACACCUUAAGUAGCCACAAAUUGUGUCACUUUGACACUUUUAUUGAAUCAGCAAAGAGAGUGUACUGCACUCACUGCCAACGUGGACAAAACGACCAAUUGAUUUGUGCCAACUCAUUUAAAUUGCCACAUCAUUAUUUAUAUUCACAAUUAAUUUCUAAAAAAAAGACCAAAAUACAUGAUUAUUAAUAAUUAUCCAACUUAUUAAUAUAUAUACACACAAUUAAAUUAAAGGAACCAAUUAAUUACUGACACGUGGCAUUUUAAAAAAUAAUUAUAAAAUUAUCAAUCCAACCCUCAUCCCACCCCAUCCCACCACCCCCAAACUCCAAAGUCAUCUUCUCCACCACCACCCAUCCCCAGCACCCCCAAGUCAUCUUCUCUACAUGGCAGUCCUCCUCUCCCUUUAUCUUCUCCAUUUGCCCUCCUCCACCCCCACCCCCACUCCCCAAACCCCAAAGUCAUCUUCUCCAUUCGCCCCUAACCGCCAACCAAGACAACAACCGCACCUCCGUCUGUCACACCCCUUUUUUAACUCCAAAAAGAAUUAUAUUUUAAGUUUCGAAAGGGUUUUUAUUAUGAAGUGACAAAAAUGAAGAAUUUAUUUCGAAAAAGGAUUAUUUAUAUUCAAAACUCAGAGUUGCCACUUGGCAUAAUCGGGUGUGCCAAGUCACCUUUGGAAAAUCCUUUUCAAAAUGAUUUGACUCUUUAAACUGGUUUGCAAACAGAGAUUCCGGCUAAGGAAUUCUGUUGACCGAGGGGAAGGUGUUAAGUACCCCUCGAUCCCGUGGUUCGACCACGGUCUCUUGAUGGAGCGUAUCAGCUAAUUUUGACACUAAAAAUGUAUGAACCACAUAAACACACAACACAAGCAAACAAAAAAGUCAAACAAAAUUCAAAACCGAAAUAAUAUCUAGUCCGAAUUAUACAGUCCCAAAAAUAAGAAAAUACGAAAAUAUAAAUCCUAUUCUAGACUGAUCCUAAACUAUGCUUCAAUGCUUACCCGAUGCCUCGGGCUUUCAUCACGAAUAUUUUUCGCCAACAUAAUACGUCGGGGUUUUCCCCGGUGAAUAAAUACAAUGUGUCUCGGGGGAUUCCCUGGCUAAAUGAAUACAUUUUUAGGGCAAGAAAAUCAAACCACUCAACGAACUUUCAAACAUUCAACAAAACCAAAAAUUCUAAACUUUGCCUACCCAACCUACACUUGCCUAUUACUUCCGACUUAUCAUGCUACUACCACGUUUAACAACGUCAAAAAUCAAUCAAGAUGAAAAAUUAAAUAAACCAAGUGAAAUUGCUAAUUAGCCAACUUUCAAUAUCACCCCAAAUUGCGAUCUAACCCCAAAUUGAGUCUAAGUUCUUUGAUUAUUUCAAUUCACAACAAUCAAUCGAUGGAUAUCAACAACCAACCAUGAUGAUCCAAGACAUAUGAAAAUCAAUAAAAUAAAAUCCACACACCAUGAGUUUACCACGACAAGUAUCACACAAUUAAGAAUUAAUUGAGAAUGAGAUGAAGAAUGGACCUUAAUGUCGCUUUUAUUCAAUCAAACGGAGGAGCUUCGUGGAUUCGAAACCUCGACUUAAACCCACUUUGAACAAAACCCCAUUUGGUGUUGAAUUUGACCCCAAAACAGAUUUGAAAACCAAUCGAAACCUCAAUUAUGACUAACUCGCAAACUCAAUUGACAAAUCAAGCGACCCAGUGGAAAACUUGAACGAAGCUGUUAAAUGGUGCUACUGGUUGCCAAUUUUGGUGAUGAGAGGGAUUUGGGUCGCUACUAGCACUUUGUCGAAGCUCUGGUGAGCUCGGCGCUGGAGGAAAAUCGAAGGAGACGGGAUCAAUUUUAGGCCCUAUUAGCCUUUUUCUCUCCCUUUCUCCCUAUUUCUCUAUCUCCCUGCUAGUUUCUCUCUUCUUCAAUAUUUUUGUGGGUGAGAGUGGUGUGUGCGUGAGUGGUGUGUGAUUUUGGUUGUUGUGUCUGUGAGAGUGACGAUGGAUAGAUCCCUUUAUGAUAUGUGCCAAUCUGUAUAUUGUAGUGUUAUGUGUGAAUUUUUUUGCUGAGAUGUGUGUGUACGUGUGUUCGUAUAUAGAUGAAGGUGGAGAGUAUUAUGAUCUUCUGUGAGUAAUUUCUGUUCUGUCAAUGGAAAAGGAAUCAGCAGUGGUGAGUCUCUGUGGAAUAUCAAUCAGAAAAAAAAUGGUGUAUGCAUAUAAUUGUAUAUUAUAAAAUGGUAAGAAUGAGGGAAUCUUCUAUAGGGCCC
rnacentral:lncRNA from 1 species